ACAAUACUUUCUUCGUCCGAAAAUAUUUAUCAUAAAAAGAAUGUAUCUAGAUGUAUUUUAGUUCUAGAUGCAUCUUUUUUUAUUUAUUUAUGCGACAAAUAAUUCCGGACGCACGAAGUACGUG
rfam:Hordeum vulgare subsp. vulgare, WGS project CAJW01000000 data, contig: morex_contig_44855